rnacentral:rRNA from 2 species
GGGGAGGGGCGGCUGCCUAUACUGCAGUCGAACGAGCUCCGGUUUUGAGUGGUGCUUGCAUCGAGAUUUACAUUUGAGUGAGUGGCGAAUGGUGAUAAACGUGGGAACCUGCCCAGAAGCGGGGGAUAACACCUGGAAACGGAUGCUAAUACCGCAAACAACUUGUACCGCAGGGUCCGAGUUUGAAAGAGGGCUCCGGCUAUCAUUUUUGGAUGGCCCCGCGGCGUAUUAGCUAGAUGGUGGGGUAACGGCUCACCAUGGCAAUGAUACGUAGCCGACCUGAGAGGGUAAUCGGCCACUUGGGGACUGAGACACGGCCCAAACUCCUACGGGAGGCAGCAGUAGGGAAUCUUUCCACAAUGGACGAAAGUCUGAUGGAGCAACGCCGCGUGAGUGAAGAAGGGUUUCGGCUCGUAAAACUCUGUUGUUAAAGAAGAACAUAUCUGAGAGUAACUGUUCAGGUAUUGACGGUAUUUAACCAGAAAGCCACGGCUAACUACGUGCCAGCAGCCGCGGUAAUACGUAGGUGGCAAGCGUUGUCCGGAUUUAUUGGGCGUAAAGCGAGCGCAGGCGGUUUUUUAAGUCUGAUGUGAAAGCCUUCGGCUCAACCGAAGAAGUGCAUCGGAACUGGGAAACUUGAGUGCAGAAGAGGACAGUGGAACUCCAUGUGUAGCGGUGAAAUGCGUAGAUAUAUGGAAGAACACCAGUGGCGAAGGCGGCUGUCUGGUCUGUAACUGACGCUGAGGCUCGAAAGUAUGGGUAGCAAACAGGAUUAGAUACCCCUGGUAGUCCAUGCCGUAAACGAUGAGUGCUAAGUGUUGGAGGGUUUCCGCCCUUCAGUGCUGCAGCUAACGCAUUAAGCAUUCCGCCUGGGGGAGUACGACCGCACGGCUGAAACUCAAAGGGAAUUGACGGGGGCCCGCACAAGCGGUGGAGCAUGUGGUUUAAUUCGAAGCUACGCGAAGAACCUUACCAGUCUUGACAUACUACUGCCAAAUCUAGAGAAUAGACGUUCCCUUCGGGUGACAGUGAAUUAACAGGUGGUGGCAUGGUUGUCCUUCAGCUCCGUGUUCGUU